AAUAAGUCAAUGUCUCUCUCUAAAAUCAAUAAGUAAAUUUAAAAAAUGUUUAAGCAUAUGUGGUCAAAAGAUUCUAAGAAUUUGCCAAAUCUGUUCAUUUUUUCCAGGUUUCUUUGAAGACCGACACCCCUAAGAGACCAAACAGACCUACAUUUUAACAAAGAUAAGAAGAUGGAGCAUAAUCAUUUUCUUCACUUGAUGUACAAAGUUAGAGCUAAAGAAGCCAGCAACCUGGAUACACCAAUGGGCACAACAAAAGAGCCUCAACAAAAGCUUGCUCCCUCUAGUAAGCGAAGUAUGAAGACUUCAUGGUAGGAGAACUUGUUUCUAGACUGGCUCUGCCAUUAACAAAUUGCAACUUGGUAGAUACUCUCUCCAGCUCUUCAUUAUCAGCCAAUAGCUAAGUCCAGCAUUAUGAUUCCAAGUUGGAUGAAGAAAGGAGUUGUGUUUAAAGCAGUUUACUUUUAUUGCUUAAAAUAGAAAUAAUUGCACACUGGAGAAUAUUUGAAAUUAAAGAAAUGCAUUUAAAAAA